rnacentral:misc_RNA from 1 species
CAUGGAGGAGGUUACCUUCCACUGAUGUAAUAAGAGACUCAACAUGAGGCCUCUUACAAUCGGUGACGCCUGAUUCAGUAUUCAGUUUUGAAUUUUUGUCCAUCAAAUUUAGCUUUUGUAGGAAGCAGUCUGAAUUCUUGAAGACACAAGAGGUGAUUAGGUGUGAUGAGUUGAUGAUCUGCAAAUUUUGGCAUCAUUUUAUUUGUUCAUUUGACCAAAACUUACUUUUCCAACAAAGCUGAAGCCUGGUAAAAACUAAAGUGAAGUGUUGUUGUUUAAAAGAGAAAUGUACAUUAGAGGAGAUGUUCAAUGUUGUACAAAAUUCUUCUGUUGAUAAGCAAUUUAAGUGG